rnacentral:siRNA from 1 species
AUAGUGUGUAUGACUUCUCUCCUG